UGAGAUGGUAUAGUAAGAAAUUAUUUUUGAUAUUUGAUUUUUAUAAAUAUACAUUUCUCAGUCUUUAUUAAUGAAGUUCAGUGAAAUUCCUGUAUUUUGUAUUUUAACUAAUACAGCAUUUAGUUCUUAAUUUUGUUCAAAGGAAUUUCAGAUCUCAGUGUAUCUGACACUGCCAGUUGUGAUACUGGAGGCUCUUACUUCAAGCUAGGGUUCCAUUAGUAAUAGUUUUCAUUAUUAUAAACAGUUCUUCAUAAGUUUUACACAAAAAACCUAUGGCCGGGUUGGGCCAACAUGAGCAACAUGGGUAAGAGGAGGUGAAUAUAAGCAAAGUACUGUGUUUAUAUGCACAAAUGUCAUCAAACCCGUUAUGUUUGAUAUUGUGAAACAUAAUAAAAUAAAAACUAUAGAAUUUUCUCAAUCUAUUUUAAAGACAAAAUGUUCCAAAACCCAUUGAAAAUUUAUAUUAUACAAAAUUAUUUUGUGUUUUCAUAUAAAGUAUACAAGAUUUUUCAUCCAUGAUUUUCCAUGUGAGGACAUAAAUGUCCCGUGGGAUGAAUCUGUACUUUUUGAUGUUGUACUGUGCUUUAAGACAGCUGGCAUUUCAAACUAUCUUCUCAAUAAAUACUGUUAACCCCUCCUCUUGUCUUUAUUGUGAAUGCUCAAAAUACCCUCCCCAUUUUUCUGAGAUACCAAGUUAAAGGCAGUGCUCACUACCUCUGAGAAUCACUUAUCUCAAAUACAUGCUUUUUUUUUUUUCAUUUCCUCUACUCAUCCCACCCUUUUCAGCCUCCAACUCAUCCUCCAAGACGGUACAUGUUUGCAGGAAUACUUUACUGAACUCAUAAUUUUGGCAUAGGUGUUCGCCUGCUCCUCCCUCCCAUGCCACCUAGCACAGCUGAUUGUCGUUGUCAGUGGACAAUACAGAAAGAGUUAAAGGCCAGGCAGCUCAGAGGAACAAGGGCUGAGUUUCUUGUUCUUAGACACGGCAGCAAUAUGUGACUGCCUUUUUUACUCCAGGGCCUGGUGUAGCUCCAGGCUUGAAGUUAGAGUAAAGAAUGGCUGAACUGAGAGAGAAAAAGCAUAGAUGGAAGAGAAAAUGAAAACAUACAAGCCGUGAGUUGUUUAUUUUUACUGUAAUGCAUUUGUGUCGGAAUGUGUACCACGGUGUGCAUAUGGAGUUCAGAGGACAGUUUUGUGAAGUUGGGUCUUUCCUUCCACCUUACAUGGAGUCUGGAGGAUCACACUCAUGUUCUCAGGCUUUUCAGAGCAAGUGCUGUGCCCUCUCGCUCACCAGAGUGUGUUUUGGUAACUAGCAGCAUGUGCCAAGACACCUUGGCUGUUAACGGCACACUUCAUUUCUCCCUUUACAUCUUCCUCCAGUGAGAGGCUUGAUCCUUCUUCCUUCUGAAAGUGAGUUAAGGAGCAUUGUGUAGCUUGCUGAUAGUAAAGAGGGAAAUAGGUAAUGUAAGUCUUUGCUUAAAAGAGAACUCAUUUCAGCUCUGGUUUCUAGGUGCCUUGCCUCCUGUUACAUUUAUAGUUUAAAGAGAAGCAAUAUAGAUUUGCCUCCCCUAAAAGGCCCUGACAUUCUGCUUUUCUAGAUUUUUCUAUUGUUCAGUAAAACUUUCAACCCAAAUAAUCAUAAUACUUUCAGAGUAUUGCCUCCAUUGGCAAAGUACAGUUCAGUAGUAUUUUCAUAAGUCAUUUUUUAUUAUUUAUAGAAAUAACUAAAACUCAUUAUGAUGCUUAAUGCAUUUCUGGAUCAGGUCUCCCUGCCCCCAAAAUCCAAACUAUGUCUUUUUUUUUUAAUUAUUUUAUGUGUAUGAAAAUUUUGUCUGCAUGUAUGUCUGUGCACCACAUGCAUGCCUGGUGCCUGCGGAGGCUGAAAGAAGUCAUCAAGUUCCCCUAGGACUGGAGUUACAGUUAGUUGUGAGCUGGAAAUCAAACCUGGGUCGUCUGGAAGAGUGCCCAGUGCUCUUAAACACUGAGCCAUUCCAAAUGCUGACACCAUUGCAUACACAAGCAAGAUUUUGCUAAAGGGACCCUGAUAUAGCUAUCUCUUGUGAGGCUAUGCCAGUGCCUGGCAAACACAGAAGUGGAUGCUCACAGUCAGCUAUUGGAUGGAACACAGGGCCCACAAUGGAGGAGCUAGAGAAAGUACCCAAGGAGCUAAAGGGGUCUGCAACCCUAUAGGUGGAACAACAAUAUGAACUAACCAGUACCUCCAGAGCUCGUGUCUCUAGCUGCAUAUGUAGCCAAAGAUGGCCUAGUUGGCCAUCAUUGAGAGGAGAGGCCCCUUGGUCUUGCAAACUUUAUAUGCCUCAGUACAGGGGAACACCAGGGCCAAGAAGUGGGAGUAAGUGGGUAGGGGAGUGCGGGGGGAGGGUAUGGGGGACAUUUGAGGUAGUAUUUGAAAUGUAAAAUAAGAAAAUACAGGGGUUGGCGAGAUGGCUCAGUGGUUAAGAGUGCCAACUGCUUUUCCGAAGGUCCAGAGUUCAAAUCCCAGCAACCACAUGGUGGCUCACAACCAUCCGUAAUGAAAUCUGAUGCCCUCUUCUGGUGUCUGAAGACAGCUACAGUGUACUUACAUAUAAUAAAUAAAAAAAGAAAAGAAAAAAAAAAAGAAAAUACCU
rnacentral:lncRNA from 1 species